rnacentral:rRNA from 1 species
ACGGGAGGCAGCAGUGGGGAAUAUUGGACAAUGGGCGGAAGCCUGAUCCAGCAACGCCGCGUGAGGGAUGACGGCCUUCGGGUUGUAAACCUCUUUCACCAUUGACGAAGCUGCAUCUUUUUGGGUGUGGUGACGGUAGGUGGGGAAGAAGCACCGGCCAACUACGUGCCAGCAGCCGCGGUAAUACGUAGGGUGCGAGCGUUGUCCGGAAUUAUUGGGCGUAAAGGGCUCGUAGGCGGUUUGUCGCGUCGGGAGUGAAAUCAUCUGGCUUAACUGGGUGCUUGCUUUCGAUACGGGCAGACUAGAGGUAUGCAGGGGAGAACGGAAUUCCUGGUGUAGCGGUGAAAUGCGCAGAUAUCAGGAGGAACACCGGUGGCGAAGGCGGUUCUCUGGGCAUGAUCUGACGCUGAGGAGCGAAAGUGUGGGGAGCGAACAGGAUUAGAUACCCUGGUA